GAAAUGCGAUAAGUAAUGUGAAUUGCAGAAUUCAGUGAAUCAUCGAAUCUUUGAACGCACAUUGCGCCCCCUGGUAUUCCGGGGGGCAUGCCUAUUCGAGCGUCAUUAUCACCCCUCAGGCUUCGGCCUGGUGUUGAGGGCUGCCGUCAAGGCACCCUUUAAAAUCAGUGGCAGUGCCGUCGGGCUCUAAGCGUAGUAACUUUCUCGCUACAGUGCUCCGGUGGACCUCGCCAGAACCCCAAAUUUUUAUCACGAUUGACCUCGGAUUAGGUAGGGAUACCCGCUGAACUUAA
rnacentral:misc_RNA from 1 species